GACGAACGCUGGCGGCGUGCUUAACACAUGCAAGUCGAACGGAAAGGCCCUGCUUUUGUGGGGUGCUCGAGUGGCGAACGGGUGAGUAACACGUGAGUAACCUGCCCUUGACUUUGGGAUAACUUCAGGAAACUGGGGCUAAUACCGGAUAGGAGCUCCUGCUGCAUGGCGGGGGUUGGAAAGUUUCGGCGGUUGGGGAUGGACUCGCGGCUUAUCAGCUUGUUGGUGGGGUAGUGGCUUACCAAGGCUUUGACGGGUAGCCGGCCUGAGAGGGUGACCGGCCACAUUGGGACUGAGAUACGGCCCAGACUCCUACGGGAGGCAGCAGUGGGGAAUAUUGCACAAUGGGCGGAAGCCUGAUGCAGCAACGCCGCGUGCGGGAUGACGGCCUUCGGGUUGUAAACCGCUUUCGCCUGUGACGAAGCGUGAGUGACGGUAAUGGGUAAAGAAGCACCGGCUAACUACGUGCCAGCAGCCGCGGUGAUACGUAGGGUGCGAGCGUUGUCCGGAUUUAUUGGGCGUAAAGGGCUCGUAGGUGGUUGAUCGCGUCGGAAGUGUAAUCUUGGGGCUUAACCCUGAGCGUGCUUUCGAUACGGGUUGACUUGAGGAAGGUAGGGGAGAAUGGAAUUCCUGGUGGAGCGGUGGAAUGCGCAGAUAUCAGGAGGAACACCAGUGGCGAAGGCGGUUCUCUGGGCCUUUCCUGACGCUGAGGAGCGAAAGCGUGGGGAGCGAACAGGCUUAGAUACCCUGGUAGUCCACGCUGUAAACGGUGGGUACUAGGUGUGGGGUCCAUUCCACGGGUUCCGUGCCGUAGCUAACGCUUUAAGUACCCCGCCUGGGGAGUACGGCCGCAAGGCUAAAACUCAAAGGAAUUGACGGGGCCCCGCACAAGCGGCGGAGCAUGCGGAUUAAUUCGAUGCAACGCGUAGAACCUUACCUGGGUUUGACAUGGAUCGGGAGCGCUCAGAGAUGGGUGUGCCUCUUUUGGGGUCGGUUCACAGGUGGUGCAUGGCUGUCGUCAGCUCGUGUCGUGAGAUGUUGGGUUAAGUCCCGCAACGAGCGCAACCCUUGUUCACUGUUGCCAGCACGUUAUGGUGGGGACUCAGUGGAGACCGCCGGGGUCAACUCGGAGGAAGGUGGGGAUGACGUCAAGUCAUCAUGCCCCUUAUGUCCAGGGCUUCACGCAUGCUACAAUGGCUGGUACAGAGAGUGGCGAGCCUGUGAGGGUGAGCGAAUCUCGGAAAGCCGGUCUCAGUUCGGAUUGGGGUCUGCAACUCGACCUCAUGAAGUCGGAGUCGCUAGUAAUCGCAGAUCAGCAACGCUGCGGUGAAUACGUUCCCGGGGCU
rnacentral:rRNA from 1 species